CUAUUAUCAGAUAAUACCUAAUGUAUCUGGAAUAAGAUUACUGAGGUGAAACAGACGCAAAGGGAGAUGCAUUUAGUGUUGGUACUUCUUGCGCUCCUGUCCCCAUCAUGUUCAGCGCGAUAUCAAAACGUGAUCCUUCUCGUUCCCAAAUACAUUGAGCCAGGGACGAACUUCUGUGUUGAAAUCCACAGCAAAGACAAUCCAUGGACAAUUCCUUUAGUUGGACAAAUUAAAACGUCAACAGGGGCACUUGUUUCAUCAAAAGAAAUUGACGUUUAUCCAGGAACAGUAUCGAAGCUGGUGUUGAAGAUCCCACCAACCAUAACCCAAGAUACGAUGUACAUCUUCAACUGCAAACCUACAACUCAAAGAAUCAACAUGGAAUCUUCAGUUUCAAUUCUUGCAUACAGGGAUGAUGGUUAUUAUUACCUAAUACAAACAGAUAAAUUCAUAUACAGGGGAGGACAAACAGUUCGAUUUCGAGUUAUAGGAUUAAACCAACAUCUAAUCCCCCACUCUGCACCAUUAACAGUUACUGUGAAGGACUCUAAGGGACAGAAAAUUGAACUGUGGAACAAUCUGUUGAUGACUGACGGGGUACUGAGUCAUAGUUUUGAUCUUGGAGAUGAUGUGCCAUUUGGAACUUGGUCAAUCACUGCAAGCGACGGGGUAAAUUCGACGACGGUAAAUCUGAAAAUCAUGGAUUAUUAUUUACCAACCUAUGAAGUAAAAGUUGAAUUUCCACAACAAAACAAAUUUGUUGCCUUGACUGAUGAUUUUGUACAUGUGAAAGUAACGGCCAGGUAUUUUUUUGGAAAAGACGUCCAGGGUAACGUCUCGAUCAUUGGCUCUCUGAAAUCAUGGGAUCAGCCGCAAUAUUAUGGAAUCCAGUUUCCUGCCUACUCACCACUACCAAAACAGAUAAAAGGCUCUGCAACGUUUGACAUACCAAUGUCGGAAAUAAGGAAAAUGAUUGAAGCUCUCAAUGCCCCGCUCUCUUCUGAUUCCCUCUAUGUAGACGCAUAUGUAGCGGAUCAGGGUAUCAGCAUGAACGGCUCCAAAGCUGUAGUUCUCUACGACAGCCCUAUAGAAAUAAAAAUCACACCAGUGUCAAAGUUUUUCCGAGCAGGGAUGCGUUUUGAUACACAGAUACUGAUACGACAAGUGAAUGGAGACCAACUCCCAACUCCCCUGUUAAAAGGAACCCUUACAACUACUAUCAACGGACACACCUCCAGCUACACGUUUAUUCCAGUACUGCAUGGUUUCAAUACAGUUAAGAUCGUAGUGCCUAGCGAUGCUUUGAGUCUGAAUGUGAAGGUCGAAUAUCAGGGAGUCAGCAAGGAUAUGGAUAUCAACUCAUUUUCAGGGUCAGAGGGUCACUUCUUGGAACUACUGCCUUCAUCACAAGAAGUUAAAGUAGAUGACUGGCUCAAUGUUACAAUACUUUCAAACCAAGUACUUCCGGAUCUGAACUACAGGAUAGUCGUGCGUCAAGACGUCUUUGACGACGGCGUUAUAGCUACCCAGAACAAGUCUUCAGUAACUACGCAGUUCCACAUAACGCAAGAAAUGUAUCCAGAUGCGUACAUUAUUGUGUAUUACUUCUUACCAGACGGCGGAGCGGUUGCAGACGAAGUUCGGGUGAACAUAGAUAGCUCUGACCAUAAUCGGGUGCACAUCAGUUUCAAACAACCGUAUGUUCGUCCCGGCGAUAAUACCACUCUCAGUGUAUCAGGAACUCCGGGAUCCACAAUCUGCCUCACGGUUGUUGAUAAAAGUGUCCUCAUAUUAGGCAAUGAAAAUGAAAUCACUGAACCCAGGUAUAAACACCUGUUAUUGUCAAAAGCCGUUCAUGCCGUUGAUGAGGAUAACAGCGAAGACCUUCUUACGAAUACUGGAAUGUCUGUUUGGACACUCAAAACAGAUAUAAACGAAUGCUUCAUAUCACAACCAUGUCGGAAUGGAGGAACAUGCGUGGAUGAGAUUCCGGGGUUCAAAUGUUAUUGCCCUCCCCACUAUACUGGAAAAGUCUGCGAAAUAAACCUUGAUAUGAUUGUCCGACGGGUAAAGCUAACGUCUCUGUGAACCUUGGGGACACUUUGACGACAUGGGUGGCUAGUGCCUUUGGAUUAAACUUGAAGUAUGGACUAAGCAUCUCGUCGGAAUAUGCUGAGGUGCAAACUUUUCUCAGUUUCUUCGUGUUGCUCACUGUUCCGGAUCACAUCGUGUUUGGGGAAGAGAUACUAUUACAGCCAAAGGUGUAUAACUACAUGGGCAGUGAUUUU
rnacentral:misc_RNA from 1 species